UAGCUUAUCAGGCUGAUGUCG
rnacentral:miRNA from 1 species